GCAAGUUUUUAGUAGUGGGGCUGUUAGGUUAAUGGGUAUAUUUAUUUUCAUUUUCAUAGGAACUCCAUGUUGCACUCUACAGCAGUUCCCAGCAAUGUGUGAGAAAGUCUGCCUCCCCACAUCUCAGCCAGACAGCGUCUCUCUUUUGAUCUCCACCAUUCUAAGCGAGCCUGGUGAAGAAAUAUCUGUCAGAGGGAGACCAAGAACAAAGACUCUGCCUUCAGAAAUGAAGUCGGUGUAUAAGGAACCGUGAGAUGGGUAUUUCGCAUAGGUAAGAGAUUCUUAAAGUAUCUUUACCCAAGUCCAUGAGUUCCUUUCAGAGUGACUGAAGUG
rnacentral:lncRNA from 1 species